GCAUUUGUAGUAUAGUCAGUACGCCGGUCUUAGGAUCCGGGGGCGCAGAGUGCU
rnacentral:tRNA from 1 species